rnacentral:rRNA from 1 species
GAUGAACGCUGGCGGCGUGCUUAACACAUGCAAGUCGAACGAAGCACUUUUAUUUGAUUUCUUCGGAAUGAAGAUUUUAGUGACUGAGUGGCGGACGGGUGAGUAACGCGUGGGUAACCUGCCUCAUACAGGGGGAUAACAGUUAGAAAUGACUGCUAAUACCGCAUAAGACCACAGCACCGCAUGGUGCAGGGGUAAAAACUCCGGUGGUAUGAGAGGGACCCGCGUCUGAUUAGGUAGUUGGGGGGGUAACGGCCUACCAAGCCGACGAUCAGGAGCCUACCUGAGAGGGCGACCGGCCACAUUGGGACUGAGACACGGCCCAAACUCCUUGGGGAGGCAGCAGUGUGUAAGAUUUCACAAUGAGGGAAACCCUGAUGCAGCGACGCCGCGUGAGCGAUGAAGUAUUUCGGUAUGUAAAGCUCUAUCAGCAGGGAAGAAAAUGACGGUACCUGACUAAGAAGCACCGGCUAAAUACGUGCCAGCAGCCGCCGCCG